UAGGGAAUAUUGGACAAUGGGCGAAAGCCUGAUCCAGCAAUGCCGCGUGAGUGAUGAAGGCCUUAGGGUUGUAAAGCUCUUUUACCCGGGAUGAUAAUGACAGUACCGGGAGAAUAAGCCCCGGCUAACUCCGUGCCAGCAGCCGCGGUAAUACGGGGGGAGCAAGCGUUGUUCGGAUUUACUGGGCGUAAAGGGCGCGUAGGCGGCCUCCGCAAGUCGACUGUGAAAUCUCCGGGCUUAACUCGGAAAGGUCAGCCGAUACUGCGGGGCUAGAGUGCAGAAGGGGCAACUGGAAUUCUCGGUGUAGCGGUGAAAUGCGUAGAUAUCGAGAGGAACACCUGCGGCGAAGGCGGGUUGCUGGGCUGACACUGACGCUGAGGCGCGAAAGCUAGGGGAGCGAAC
rnacentral:rRNA from 1 species